AUGAUAGAAAGCAACAAAGGGCAUAUUGUGAACAUAGCGAGUAUAGCAGGUCUCAUUGGAUUUCCGGUAAUCGUAGAUUAUUCUGCGUCUAAGUAUGCAGUUGUUGGUUCCAGUGAAGCAUUACAAAUGGAAUUAGACUUUCAUGGACAUGACGUUAGCAUUACAUCAGUAUGUCCGACUUUCAUUCACAAUACGGGCAUGCCUGCAGCUAAAUUCUCUGGGCGUGCUCCAAUUGUUAGUCCGCAAGAUGUUGCUGAAAGUACUGUUACUUCCAUCCGGUGUAACAAGAAGUUUAUUUUGGUGCCAAAUUACAU